rnacentral:rRNA from 1 species
CACGUAGUUAGCCGGUGCUUCUUCCCCACCUACCGUCACCCCAAAGGGCUUCGUCGAUGGUGAAAGAGGUUUACAACCCGAAGGCCUUCAUCCCCCACGCGGCGUCGCUGCGUCAGGCUUUCGCCCAUUGCGCAAGAUUCCCCACUGCUGCCUCCCGUAGGAGUCUGGGCCGUGUCUCAGUCCCAGUGUGGCCGAUCACCCUCUCAGGCCGGCUACCCGUCGUCGCCUUGGUAGGCCAUUACCCCACCAACAAGCUGAUAGGCCGCGGGCCCAUCCCAUACCGCCGGAACUUUCCACACCCCACCAUGCGGCAGAAUGUCCUAUCCGGUAUUAGCCCCCGUUUCCAGGGGUUAUCCCAGAGUAUGGGGCAGAUUACCCACGUGUUACUCACCCGUUCGCCACUCAUCCACCCCGACCACAAGGGCAGAGCUUCAGCGUUCGACUUGCAUGUGUUAAGCACGCCGCCAGCGUCGUCCUGAGCCACGGAUCGAACUAC